rnacentral:rRNA from 1 species
GUAACACGUAAAGAACCUGCCCUCAGGUCUGGGAUAACCACGAGAAAUCGGGGCUAAUACCGGAUGGGUCAUCGGACCGCAUGGUCCGAGGAUGAAAGGCGCUUCGGCGUCGCCUGGGGAUGGCUUUGCGGUGCAUUAGCUAGUUGGUGGGGUAAUGGCCCACCAAGGCGACGAUGCAUAGCCGACCUGAGAGGGUGAUCGGCCACACUGGGACUGAGACACGGCCCAGACUCCUACGGGAGGCAGCAGUAGGGAAUCUUCCACAAUGGACGAAAGUCUGAUGGAGCAACGCCGCGUGAACGAUGAAGGCCUUCGGGUCGUAAAGUUCUGUUGUAAGGGAAGAACAAGUGCCGCAGGCAAUGGCGGCACCUUGACGGUACCUUGCGAGAAAGCCACGGCUAACUACGUGCCAGCAGCCGCGGUAAUACGUAGGUGGCAAGCGUUGUCCGGAAUUAUUGGGCGUAAAGCGCGCGCAGGCGGCCUCUUAAGUCUGAUGUGAAAGCCCCCGGCUCAACCGGGGAGGGCCAUUGGAAACUGGGAGGCUUGAGUAUAGGAGAGAAGAGUGGAAUUCCACGUGUAGCGGUGAAAAGCGUAGAGAUGUGGAGGAACACCAGUGGCGAAGGCGACUCUUUGGCCUAUAACUGACGCUGAGGCG